UAACACAUGCAAGUCGAACGAUGAAGGGGAGCUUGCUCCUUGGAUUAGUGGCGAACGGGUGAGUAACACGUGAGUAACCUGCCCUGGACUCUGGGAUAACCCCGAGAAAUCGGAGCUAAUACCGGAUAGGACCUUGGAUCGCAUGAUCUGGGGUGGAAAGUUUUUUCGGUCUGGGAUGGACUCGCGGCCUAUCAGCUUGUUGGUGAGGUAAUGGCUCACCAAGGCGUCGACGGGUAGCCGGCCUGAGAGGGUGACCGGCCACACUGGGACUGAGACACGGCCCAGACUCCUACGGGAGGCAGCAGUGGGGAAUAUUGCACAAUGGGCGCAAGCCUGAUGCAGCAACGCCGCGUGCGGGAUGACGGCCUUCGGGUUGUAAACCGCUUUUAGUAAGGAAGAAGGGGAGCUUGCUCCUUGACGGUACUUGCAGAAAAAGGACCGGCUAACUACGUGCCAGCAGCCGCGGUAAUACGUAGGGUCCGAGCGUUGUCCGGAAUUAUU
rnacentral:rRNA from 1 species